CUGUUCUGUUUAAGUAUAAGCAGGGAGCAGAUUCUGUGUUGGAGGUGAGUAAGGAUGAUUAUGAUAAGUGCAAUACUGGAAAUCCAAUUAAGAAAAUGGAGGAUGGAAACUCGAUUUUCACGUUGGAUCGGUCUGGUCCUUUUUACUUUAUCAGUGGGAACAAAGAUAACUGUGAUAAAGGCCAAAAGUUGCAAAUUGUUGUGAUUUCUGCUAGGAAUCAAGGUAAACCACCACAAACUCCGGCACCGGCAGUUGCUCCACCUACUCCUUCUGGAGGCUCAACUCCGGCAGCUGCUCCGUCUAAAGGAUCGGGUACACCGUCGGCACCUUCAGCUAACGCUCCGGCGGGAUCAUCUAAACCGGGUGCAUCGUCACCUAAUGGGGCACCGGUAUCUACUCCUGCAGGUAAAUCACCAACCUCAUCACCUACACCUUCCGGUUCAACCGCAUCUCCACCAUCUCCUGCGACCGUAACUCCGGCAAUGUCUCCGGUAGCAAAUGGACCGUCAACUAGUACACCAGGUUCUUCUUCACCUGUAGCAGGCGGACCAUCGUCAGGAAGCGGUAUUGCACCGUCGGCAGGCGGACCAUCUGGAAGCGCUAUUGCACCGGCGGCAGACGGACCAACAGUAAGUAUGUCACCGGGACCAUCGGCAGGAGGACCAUUGGCAGGCGGACCAUCGGAGGGAGCACCGGGAAGUAGUGCUUUAGGUCCCGGCGGCAGCAAUACUCCGGCGGACAUCAAUACGCCAGCUGGCGCACCAGAAAACCCAAAUUCAUUUGCAGUGAAGGCAUUUACUCCAUCAGUUGUACUUGUGUCAGCCGUUUCACUCGUUUUAACUGUGACUUUGGC
rnacentral:misc_RNA from 1 species